rnacentral:lncRNA from 1 species
AUGGUCGGCUCUUCUGAGGCACAAAGGCCUCGAGUCCUGGUGUUGGUAUGGCCUGGCCUCCACGGUGCACCCCUGCUGGUGGAUGGCUCAGGACGGGGCAGUUGCCUUGAGAGGCCCGCUGCAUGCUGCCACAACAGAUGGUCGAUUCUUACAAGCAACGGAGUCCCCAUGGAGUCGUGGAGUCAGUGUGGCCUGGCAUCCAUCGUGCACCUUGUGGUGGCAGGUGGCUCAGGGCGGGGCAGUUAUCAUGGGACAUCCGCCAUACGCUGGCAAGGAAGAUGGUCAGUUCUUCUGGUCCACAAAGGCCCCCGGAGUCCUGGAAUGGUUGAUUCUUCCAUGCAACGGAGUCCCCAUGGAGCCGUGGAGUCAGUGUGCCCUGGCAUACAUGGUGCACCGCAUGCUAGCAGGUGGCUCAGGACGCACAGUUAUGAUGGGACGUCCCCCAUAACCUGGCAAGGAAGAUGGUCGGCUCUUCUGAGGCACAAAGGCCUCGAGUCCUGGUGUUGGUAUGGCCUGGCCUCCACGGUGCACCCCUGCUGGUGGAUGGCUCAGGACGGGGCAGUUGCCUUGAGAGGCCCGCUGCAUGCUGCCACAACAGAUGUUCGAUUCUUACAAGCAACGGAGUCCCCAUGGAGUCGUGGAGUCAGUGUGGCCUGGCAUCCAUCGUGCACCUUGUGGUGGCAGGUGGCUCAGGGCGGUGAGCCUCAGCUGGGAGUGUGGCCGGAGAUUGGGUCUGGUCACGAUGUCAGAUGCCCCAUGGGAAGUGUGUGUGCUCAGACCAAGGGUGGAAGCUGUUAG